UAAAUCACAAUGCGGGACUAUCAGUCUUGCAAUUGGAUUGAGAACAAUGUACAACUCUUAUCGAUAAGCCAUUGGAGGGCAAGUCUGGUGCCAGCAGCCGCGGUAAUUCCAGCUCCAAUAGCGUAUAUUAACGUUGUUGCAGUUAAAAAGCUCGUAGUUGAAGUGUGGGUGAUCGCUGUUGUGAGACUUCGGUCUCUCGACAGUAAGUCACCCCCUUCCAGUAUCCAGUAGUGGGUAUUCAGUUACUUACUAUUGUGUGUUGGUCAUUUACUGUGAGAAAAUUAGAGUGUUCAAAGCAGGCGUUUGCUUGAAUAGAUUAGCAUGGAAUAAUAAUUGAAGGCUUUCGUGUUCGAUUUGAUUGGUUUGUUCAUGGAAGCAAGGUUAAAAGGAACAGUUGGGGGUAUUCAUAUUCACUAGUUAGAGGUGAAAUUCUCG
rnacentral:rRNA from 1 species